UUGUUCUCCCAUGAAAUGAUGUGAGAAGAUAAAACCGAACAUUCUCCCUCAAACCCUAAAACGAAGUUCCCCUACAAGAUUACCAGAGACUAAUUUCUUCAUCUUCUCGUCGUUUCUUGGUAAGCGCCGUCGUCUCUUGGAUUGUGUAUGCAUUGAUAUUUAUAAAGCUGCUAUCAAGGAGCAUCAAACUUCUAUAACAGGCAAGCAUGGUGGCAGCUUUUGGUUCCGGAGCCAUGUUUUCAUUGGUCAGUGGCAUGGGAGGUCCUAAUAUGGCAACCAAUGCAGUCACAUCCGGGGUAUUCUUUGCGCUUGUCCAAGGUGGUCUUUUCCAGGCGGAACGCGUACCUCGUGUCAGAGAUGAUUAUAUUUCCAUGCUGUCUCAUUUCUGAAAAAGUCACUAGGUGAUAAUCUUUAAGAUUGAUAUCUAUGAAACAGGAUGCUUUAAAUUUGUUAAAUAGUAUAGGUCAUGCAUAACCCAUUGUCUUGACUCUCCGGUUGAACAUAUAUAUAGAUAGUUCAAGGAUAUGGCUGUUUAUUUCUCUUUCAAUUUUGAAUUUCGUAGCAUGAUCUUGUGAUAGUGCUAAUAAUAUGCUAAUAAGCUAAAUUAUUAAUAUCAGCAUUUUGGUUGAAUUGUUCAGAUUGGGGAUAUUAAGAAACUAGUGACAGUCUUCUUCAGUUCGUAAGCUCUGCUGUUAGUUUACUAAAGAUAAACAUGUUUUUAGUUAUGUUAAGGAUUUGAUUACACUUAUUAUCUAUUUAACGUAAUUUGCUUAUUUGUGUUCAAUCACUUCUUCUUCUCGUGAUUCUCCAAUUAUACCACCAAAUUUUCGAUGAGUUCGCCAUUUCUUCCUUUCACUUCUUCUUCCUUCAUUAGCACCCAAAAAGGGAUGCUUAUCCGGGGUAACUUUAGGUAAUAAAAUCUAUGCAAUUGGUGGUGGAGAUGGAGUCGCCUGUUUUUCAGAUGUGGAAAUGUUUGACCCUGCCUUAGGGAGGUGGAUCCCUACUCAGUCCAUGCUACAAAAGAUCGGGUGAAAAGUCAAGUCCCAAUCACUAGCCAUUCGCAUAUCCAGGAAGACCAGUCCUUCGACCCAUAGAUCCUGGUUGUGAGAGCUUUAAAAAGAUUUUCUAGUGCUGUAGCUGAGCUCAAUGGUGCAAUUUAUGCUGCUGGGGGUUAUGAUGGAGAAGGCUAUUUGAAUUCAGCUGAACGAUUUGAUCCGAGAGAAGUAGUUUCUUGGUCCAGCAUCCCAAGUAUGAACAUUCGAAGAGGAUGUCACUCCUUAGUCGCUAUGAGUGACAAAAUAUACCAAUUAGGAGGAUAUAAUGGAGAGAACAUGGUUUCAAGCGUUGAGGAAUUUGAUCCUCGUAACAACUCAUGGAAGCUAGAGGAUAUGCAAUUGCAGCAGUCUUUGGAGAAUCAAUCUUUGUUAUUUCAGGGCUGAAAGAUGGCAAAGUAUUGUCAGAAAUGGUGGAGUGUUACGGAGAAGGUGAGGGUUGGUCCGUGGCUAACCUCAAGGGUGCAGGAAAGAGAUGCUUCUUCAGCGCAAUUUGCAUGUAAAAUGUCGUAGCAUGUGGUUAGGAGGUGCAAGUCAGAAAUUUUUGUUGAUCCCUGGUGGGCUUUUGUUGAAAAUAAUACUCCCUCCGUCCCACAUUAGAUGAGCCAUUUGUAGUUUGCACAAUUAUUAAGACAAAGAAGGAAGUAGAGUAUGUUUAGGUUUUUUUACACGUAUGCCCUUAUACAUAAUAACUUGUAAAAUUUCGAAAUGAUUUCUCUUAAACUAUAUCACGUUUUUUAUAAAC